GGGUCAGUAGGUUGGUCGUGCCACCGGUACGUACUGGCCUCACUGAUUCCUCCUUCCUGAAGAACCGUAAUGCCAUUAAUUUGGUGUUGCGGGGAAACAGGACUGUUACUUUGAAAAAAUUAGAGUGUUUAAAGCAAGCUAACGCUUGAAUACGUUAGCAUGGAAUAAUGAAAUAGGACGAUCGAUCCUAUUUUGUUGGUUUCUAGGAUUGACGUA
rnacentral:rRNA from 1 species